GCUCGUAGCCUAAUCGGAUAGGGCGUCAGACUUCUAAUCUUAAGAUUGCAGGUUCAAGUCCCGCCGUGAGUG
rnacentral:tRNA from 1 species